AUUGAACGCUGGCGGCAGGCCUGACACAUGCAAGUCGAACGGUAACAGGAAGAAGCUUGCUUCUUUGCUGACGAGUGGCGGACGGGUGAGUAAUGUCUGGGAAACUGCCUGAUGGAGGGGGAUAACUACUGGAAACGGUAGCUAAUACCGCAUAACGUCGCAAGACCAAAGAGGGGGACCUUCGGGCCUCUUUCCAUCGGCUGUGCCCAGAUGGGAUUAGCUAGUAGGUGGGGUAACGGCUCACCUAGGCGACGAUCCCUAGCUGGUCUGAGAGGAUGACCAGCCACACUGGAACUGAGACACGGUCCAGACUCCUACGGGAGGCAGCAGUGGGGAAUAUUGCACAAUGGGCGAAAGCCUGAUGCAGCCAUGCCGCGUGUAUGAAGAAGGCCUUCGGGUUGUAAAGUACUUUCAGCGGGGAGGAAGGGAGUAAAGUUAAUACCUGUACUCAUUGACGUUACCCGCAGAAGAAGCACCGGCUAACUCCGUG
rnacentral:rRNA from 1 species